AAGCUCUGCCCUCAAGUUAAGCGGACACUUCAGAUGACGUCUGAUGAGUUGACACUUGCAGGGCAUGGGAAGAACGAAUUUGUUUUAAAUGGACCGCCCUUGCCUGGAAAUGUGUCACUUGUUCGUCCCACGGUUGUGUUUUCAGUCAUCAUAGAACCACCGGUAGCUGUUGUGUGUGCUUUAUACACUACAGUAAAUUAUGAUUGCAUUUCCUAUCUUGGCUAAAAGACAACGCAUCUGCAGACAUCGAAUGCUAGCCAUCCGACAAAAUCUGGCCCGGGAGUGAACACUCGCAACCUCGAUCACAAACGAGGGCUGAGGGGCUUACGUUGCCAACUUCCCUUGUUUGGCUAAUUGUUUGGACCGACGGCAAAGAUGGCCGCGGGGAUUCCCCUAGGGCAUAUGGCAGGUUUGGCUGGGCGGCCAGCUCUAGGAAGAGUCUUGGUGGUUCCAAACUUCUUCCGUUUAAGAAUGAUGGAGGCCACUGUGUUCUUGGGGAUCUUCAAUGCUGCAGAAAUGUUUUGGUACCCUUUCCCAGAUCUGUGCCACGACACAAUCCUAUCUUGGCGCUCUAUGGACAAUUCCUUCAACCUCAUGACUUGGUUUUUGCUCUGACAUGCACUGUCAACUGUGGGACCUUAUAUAGACAGGUGUGUGCCUUUCCAAAUCAUGUCCAAUCAAUUACAUUUACCAUAGGUGCACUCCAAGUUGUAGAAACAUCUCAAGGAUGAUCAAUGGAAACAGGAUGCACCUGAGCUCAAUUUCAAGUCUCAUAGCAAAGGGUUUGAAUACUUGUGUAAAUAAGGUACUUCUGUUUUUUAUUUGUAAUAAAUUUACAAACAUUUCUAAAAAUCAGUUUUUGCUUUGUCCUUAUGGAGUAUUGUGUGUAAAUUGAUGAG
rnacentral:lncRNA from 1 species